UUUCCGUAGGUGAACCUGCGGAAGGAUCAUUCAUAAUAAUGUGUUUUAUGGCACUUUUUAAAAAUCCAUAUCCACCUUGUGUGCAAUGUUAGAUCUCGUCAAUCUUGGCGAGAUUUUUAUACAUCAACUCAUUCUUUAACUAAUUUGUCUGAAAAAUAUUAUGAAUACUUAAUUCAAAAUACAACUUUCAACAACGGAUCUCUUGGCUCUC
rnacentral:misc_RNA from 1 species